rnacentral:rRNA from 1 species
GACGAACGCUGGCGGCGUGCUUAACACAUGCAAGUCGAACGGAAAGGCCCUGCUUGUGUGGGGUGCUCGAGUGGCGAACGGGUGAGUAACACGGGAGUAACCUGCCCUUGACUUUGGGAUAACUGCAGGAAACUGGUGCUAAUACCGGAUAGGAGCGCCUGCUGCAGGGUGGGGGUUGGAAAGUUUCGGCGGUUGUGGAUGGACGCGCGGCUUAUCAGCUUGUGGGUGGGGUAGUGGCUUACCAAGGCUUUGACGGGUAGCCGGCCUGGGAGGGUGACCGGCCACAUUGGGACUGAGAUACGGCCCAGACUCCUACGGGAGGCAGCAGUGGGGAAUAUUGCACAAUGGGCGGAAGCCUGAUGCAGCAACGCCGCGUGCGGGAUGACGGCCUUCGGGUUGUAAACCGCUUUCGCCUGUGACGAAGCGUGAGUGGCGGUAAUGGGUAAAGAAGCACCGGCUAACUACGUG